UGGGGAAUAUUGCACAAUGGGCGCAAGCCUGAUGCAGCCAUGCCGCGUGUGUGAAGAAGGCUUUCGGGUUGUAAAGCACUUUCAGCGGGGAGGAAGGCGAUAAGGUUAAUAACCUCAUCGAUUGACGUUACCCGCAGAAGAAGCACCGGCUAACUCCGUGCCAGCAGCCGCGGUAAUACGGAGGGUGCAAGCGUUAAUCGGAAUUACUGGGCGUAAAGCGCACGCAGGCGGUUUGUUAAGUCAGAUGUGAAAUCCCCGGGCUCAACCUGGGAACUGCAUCUGAUACUGGCAAGCUUGAGUCUCGUAGAGGGGGGUAGAAUUCCAGGUGUAGCGGUGAAAUGCGUAGAGAUCUGGAGGAAUACCGGUGGCGAAGGCGGCCCCCUGGACGAAGACUGACGCUCAGGUGCGAAAGCGUGGGGAGCAAACAGG
rnacentral:rRNA from 1 species